rnacentral:rRNA from 1 species
GACGUAGGGCGCGAGCGUUGUCCGGAUUUAUUGGGCGUAAAGAGCUCGUAGGCGGCUCGUUGCGUCAACCGUGAAAUCCCGGGGCUUAACUUCGGGCAUGCGGUUGAUACGGGCGGGCUGGAGUUCGGUAGGGGAGAGUGGAAUUCCUGGUGUAGCGGUGAAAUGCGCAGAUAUCAGGAGGAACACCGGUGGCGAAGGCGGGUCUCUGGGCCGAUACUGACGCUGAGGAGCGAAAGCGUGGGGAGCGAACAGG